rnacentral:rRNA from 1 species
UACGGAGGGGGCUAGCGUUGUUCGGAAUUACUGGGCGUAAAGCGCACGUAGGCGGCGAUUUAAGUCAGAGGUGAAAGCCCGGGGCUCAACCCCGGAACUGCCUUUGAGACUGGAUUGCUAGAAUCAUGGAGAGGUGAGUGGAAUUCCGAGUGAUAGAGGUGAAAUUCGUAGAUAUUCGCAAGAACACCAGUGGCGAAGGCGGCUCACUGGCCCGAUACUGACGC